UUCGCCCCAGAGCUGUCUCCCAGACCCUGGCAUUUGCUGGCUCCAUUCAUUCCCUGGAGUUUCCUCGCUCCUCCACCCUCCACAAUUGCACCAGCAAACCUGCGCAGCUGGUUUGCCAGGGAGGAGCAAGACCUGUUUUCCCAUCUGGGGCAGGUGUGAUCGGGAACAGCAAAGAAGCCAGCACGGGCCGGGCACAGUGGAGCGCACCUGUAAUCCCAGCUACUCAGGAGGCCAAGGCAGGAGGAUUGCUUGAGCCUAGGAGUUUGAUAUCAGCCUGGGCAACAUAUCAAGACCUCAUCUCUAUUAACAAAUUAAAAGAAAAAAGAGGCUAGGCGUCGUGGCUCAUGCCUGUAAUCCCAGCACUUUGGGAGGCCUAGGCAAGUGGAUCACCUGAG
rnacentral:lncRNA from 1 species